CCCUCCUGCCAAUGGUCAAAGAGACAUCUUGUUAGUGAUGUUGUCUUCUAUCAGUCAGGGACAGAGCAGAUGGCAGUCCUUUGUUGAUCCUUGAUGCCUGGCUUGGUGGCCAAAGCUGUUUUAUGCCUGGGACACAUAA